CCUACGGGCGGCAGCAGUGAGGAAUAUUGGUCAAUGGACGAGAGUCUGAACCAGCCAAGUAGCGUGAAGGAUGACUGCCCUAUGGGUUGUAAACUUCUUUUAUAUGGGAAUAAAAUGUUCCACGUGUGGGCUUUUGUAUGUACCAUAUGAAUAAGGAUCGGCUAACUCCGUGCCAGCAGCCGCGGUAAUACGGAGGAUCCGAGCGUUAUCCGGAUUUAUUGGGUUUAAAGGGAGCGUAGGUGGAUUGUUAAGUCAGUUGUGAAAGUUUGCGGCUCAACCGUAAAAUUGCAAUUGAUACUGGCAGUCUUGAGUACAGUUGAGGUAAGCGGAAUUCGUGGUGUAGCGGUGAAAUGCUUAGAUAUCACGAAGAACCCCGAUUGCGAAGGCAGCUUACUAAACUGUGACUGACAUUGAUGCUCGAAAGUGUGGGUAUCAAACAGGAUUAGAUACCCGAGUAGUC
rnacentral:rRNA from 1 species